rnacentral:rRNA from 1 species
CGGCACGGGUGAGUAACACGUAUCCAACCUGCCGUCUACUCUUGGCCAGCCUUCUGAAAGGAAGAUUAAUCCAGGAUGGCAUCAUGAGUCCACAUGUCCGCAUGAUUAAAGGUAUUUUCCGGUAGACGAUGGGGAUGCGUUCCAUUAGAUAGUAGGCGGGGUAACGGCCCACCUAGUCAACGAUGGAUAGGGGUUCUGAGAGGAAGGUCCCCCACAUUGGAACUGAGACACGGUCCAA